CUUGAAUGCUGGUGCUGUGGAUCAAGGCAGAGCUCUCCUGAGAGAGCCCCACUCCUCCUGGAUUCCGAGACCAACUCAAUUAUUCUUGCUAUCGUCACGCAUCUCUAAACACUGGCCAGUCUUCAGGGAUUUUGAAGAGAAAAGAGAUGUAUUCUGGGGCCAGGGAGUCAGGAGGCUUAGAAGGUGAAAUGCUCGCCUUGCAAGCUGAGGACUUGUAUUUAAUCCCCAGAACCCAUGUGAAAAAUCCAGGUGUCGUGGUGUACCUUUGUAACCCCAGCGCUGGAGACAGGUGGAUCCCUGGGGCUCACUUGUCAGCCAACCUACCCCGUCACAAAAACCAAGAUGGACGGCUUCCUGAGGAGCGACCUCUGGCCCUCCACACACAGGUUGUUUGUUAAAAAACGGCAUGAGAUCUUGCAGAGCUGACCCUCAGAUGCCUCAGCCUGCAGUUGGAAAAGGGACUCUCUACAUCAAGACCCACAGGCCUGGAAACAGGCUAAUGACUUGUGCAAUUCUACGAGGAGUGAUUGGUUACCCAGCAGUAGCUCACUCAUGAGCAAAUCUUGAUCUCUACUUUCUCCAGUAUCUUUUUACCCCAUGUAAACCUGGUGGAGAAACAAACAUGUUGUAACAUGAAUGUUAUAAUGGGCAGACACAUAUUUAUCAGUCUAUGCAUUUCAAAUCUAAUUAAAGGAAUGGAAGCCAUUUAAAAAAAUCUCAAUUCUAAUUCGGAUGAUGAAAAUUGAUGAAUGAGGUGAAAUAUAUAAUAGUUAAGUGGGCACACACACAUUCACAUGCGCAUCACACACACACACACACACACACACACACACACACGACAGAAUUGAAGAGAAUAAACUUGAACACAUAACGACAUAUAUCUUCCAACACAAAACACAAGAUAGUUUAUAGUCAGAGACACAUGGAAGUAAAUUUUGCAACCAUUCCAGAGAGAGACUCAGAAGAAAUGGAAAUUGGGAUGUUUGAAAAAAAAAAUACCCAGAAAAUGUUCCACUUGAAUGAAAAUAAUAAAUUCCAAAUCUAAAAAGACUAAUGUACUUGAAGUUCAAAAAACAUGAAAUCUUUAUGAGGCUCAUCAUAAUGAAGUCUGAACCAGCCAUAAAAGAGAAAAAACAUGGAAGCAACUGGCUGGUGUCCUCAUAUAUGUUACCCUGGACAGAGUGGCAGCAGACUUAUCACUAAAAUGUUGCAAACAAAAAAGCACUGAAACAAAAUCCAACAGUACUGAAAGCUACAAAGUAAACUAAAUAAACUUGGCAGGCAGAAUUCUACCCAGUCAAUGUCUCCCCCAAACUAACACAAUAUAAACUAUAUUCCAGGCGUACAAACUAAUUUAUAAA